CCUACGGGUGGCUGCAGUGGGGAAUAUUGGGCAAUGGAGGCAACUCUUACCCAGCAAUGCCGCGUGAAUGAAGAAGGUCUUCGGAUUGUAAAGUUCUUUAAUUGGGGACGAAAAAAAUGACGGUACCCAAGGAAUAAGCCCCGGCUAACUACGUGCCAGCAGCCGCGGUAAUACGGAGGGUGCGAGCGUUAAUCGGAAUUACUGGGCGUAAAGCGCUCGUAGGCGGUAUGUCAAGUCAAGGGUGAAAUCCCCGCGCUCAACGUGGGAACUGCCUUUGAAACUGGCAAACUGGAGUGUGUGAGAGGAUAGUGGAAUUCCAGGUGUAGGAGUGAAAUCCGUAGAUAUCUGGAGGAACAUCAGUGGCGAAGGCGACUAUCUGGCACAUAACUGACGCUGAGGAGCGAAAGCGUGGGUAGCAAACAGGAUUAGAUACCCUGGUAGUC
rnacentral:rRNA from 1 species